UUUGUUGUUGUGAUCUUUCUGUCAUAGAUGACCCUGUAACAGUCUGGAUGAGAGAACACAGGGGCCUCCUGAACAGAGAGAAAGAAAAACUUUCUAAUGCCUAUUAUCCUCCACUGUCCUUUGGCUUUGAAAAUGAUGUUAUCUUGGGGUACCUGCUAGACCCUGAGCAAGGAUGAAGAGAUGCAAUCUCUAUCUGGGAGGCAGCCAAAGAGAUGUCACAAAUUGUAAUACAAGUGAGAGGGAGAUGAAGUAAGAUGAACUCUACUCUAGGCUUGUACCAAUUAAAGUACAGAAGAGCCAUUAUUACUUUUUUCAGAUGAUUUUAAGGAUUUUAACAAAAUAGCAAUAUUGGUCUGAAUCUUUAAGGAUGAUGAAUUAAAAAGCCACCUGGUUUAAUAUAUUUCUUAACAGUGCAUCUUUGAUCUUAGCUUUAUGUGCCAAGUAACAUGAUGUCAAUUGUCUGUAACAUCAUAGACUGUGAAUGGAUGAAGAAAACCAGGAAAUUGGAAAUUGUUACUGAGUAAAAUCUG